UGUUGUUCUGGUCGUGUUUAAGAGAAGCUGGGUAUCUAGCGAUCAUAAGUCCACAUUUUCACGUUAGUCUUUAUCCACAAGCCAUCACUUUGAGGUCAUGUUACGUGUGAAGCAAGGCACUGCAUGGGUCCUGUUGAUGGUAGCUGCAUCAGCUGGGGCCUGUGUCCCAAAUGGUCUGGACUUGAGGCUGCUGAAGGCAUUGACGACUGAUUUGAGCAGGAACCAGGCUAUUGCCCCGUUCGCCAUGUCCACGCUGAUGACACAGGUCUGGCUCGGAGCCAGAGGCGACACCAGACAUGAGAUGACCACGGUCCUAGACAUAAAGACGGGUGCCGGCAGCAGGUUUUUGACGUG